rnacentral:rRNA from 1 species
UACAGAGGGGGCGAGCGUUGUUCGGAAUUACUGGGCGUAAAGGGCGCGUAGGCGGCCUUCUAAGUCGAACGUGAAAUCCCCGGGCUCAACCCGGGAACUGCGUCCGAUACUGGGAGGCUUGAAUCCGGGAGAGGGAUGUGGAAUUCCAGGUGUAGCGGUGAAAUGCGUAGAUAUCUGGAGGAACACCGGUGGCGAAGGCGGCAUCCUGGACCGGUAUUGACGCUGAGGCGCGAAAGCCAGGGGAGCGAACGGG